CCCAAGAGCCUUGCCCCAGCCCUUCUGAUUGAGUUGGUGCUCAAAUCAACUUCAUUUAAUUUGCCAUGACCACUCUCUAUUGCCUUGGCAACCAAAAUAGCCCCUUCAUCUUUCAGUUCAUUCUCAGAAAGGUUUAACUUUCUGAGAAAUUGUUUUGCUGCAAUACAGGAUGCCAAAGAAGAAGCUCCUUUGGCAGUAAUAUCAUUACCAGCCAUUUCAAGAACUUCAAGUGGAGGUGCAGACUCCUUUAGAGCAUUGGCAAGUGCUUCUGUCCCCUCAUCCUCCAAGUUUAGAUAACUGAGGUAAAUCUCAGUAAGAUCUGCAAAUGAAACUAUAGACCUACUCAAAGCAACUCCAGCUUCCACUCCAAACAUAUUGUCAUUAAGAUCAAGCUUCCGCAAAUGACUACAUGUUCCAAGUGCUUCAGCCAAUACAACACCACCAUCUAAGCCAAUCCUUGUGGAAGAACAUCGAAAAUCCUCCAACAUAGUAGAUCGUUUCACAAUAUCAGCAAUAGCAACUGCACCUUCAUCACCUGUCAUGUUAUUGUGAAAAUGAAGGACCUUGAGCUUCCCAGUGGAAGGGAUUAACUCACAAACUGCACAAGCAGCUUCCUCUGAGAUACCAUCAUUUAUCAGAUAAAGCUCCUCCAGGUUAUUUGCGAUUUGAGGAGUGCCUCAAAAGCCCUUACACCCUUUUCACCCAAG
rnacentral:misc_RNA from 1 species